rnacentral:tRNA from 1 species
UCCCUGGUGGUCUAGUGGUUAAGACUCUGGACUUCCAAUGCAGGGGGCUUGAGUUCAAUCCCUGGUUGGGGAA